GAUGAACGCUGGCGGCGUGCUUAACACAUGCAAGUCGAACGGGAAUUAUUUUAUUGAAACUUCGGUCGAUUUAAUUUAAUUCUAGUGGCGGACGGGUGAGUAACGCGUGGGUAACCUGCCUUAUACAGGGGGAUAACAGUCAGAAAUGGCUGCUAAUACCGCAUAAGCGCACAGAGCUGCAUGGCUCAGUGUGAAAAACUCCGGUGGUAUAAGAUGGACCCGCGUUGGAUUAGCUGGUUGGUGGGGUAACGGCCCACCAAGGCGACGAUCCAUAGCCGGCCUGAGAGGGUGAACGGCCACAUUGGGACUGAGACACGGCCCAGACUCCUACGGGAGGCAGCAGUGGGGAAUAUUGCACAAUGGGGGAAACCCUGAUGCAGCGACGCCGCGUGAAGGAAGAAGUAUCUCGGUAUGUAAACUUCUAUCAGCAGGGAGGAUAGUGACGGUACCUGACUAAGAAGCCCCGGCUAACUACGUG
rnacentral:rRNA from 1 species